AAGCGAAACAGACCCCUAAGUUGGCGAUUAGGGGUUUGUCGCCGGAGCGUGGCGGCUUCGGCCUGACGAGCUAGCCAAUA
rnacentral:hammerhead_ribozyme from 1 species